UCCUCCCUCUGGCGGCGUGCUUAACACAUGCAAGUCGAACGGUGAACGAGGGAGCUUGCUCCCUCCGGAUCAGUGGCGAACGGGUGAGUAACACGUGAGCAAUCUGCCCCGAACUCUGGGAUAAGCGUUGGAAACGACGUCUAAUACCGGAUACGACGCGAGAGGGCAUCCUCUCCGCGUGGAAAGAACUUCGGUUCGGGAUGAGCUCGCGGCCUAUCAGCUUGUUGGUGAGGUAACGGCUCACCAAGGCGACGACGGGUAGCCGGCCUGAGAGGGUGACCGGCCACACUGGGACUGAGACACGGCCCAGACUCCUACGGGAGGCAGCAGUGGGGAAUAUUGCACAAUGGGCGCAAGCCUGAUGCAGCAACGCCGCGUGAGGGACGACGGCCUUCGGGUUGUAAACCUCUUUUAGCAGGGAAGAAGCGAAAGUGACGGUACCUGCAGAAAAAGCACCGGCUAACUACGUG
rnacentral:rRNA from 1 species